GAUGAAAGAACGUAGCGAAAUGCGAUAAGUAGUGUGAAUUGCAGAAUUCAGUGAAUCAUCGAAUCUUUGAACGCACAUUGCGCCCCAUGGUAUUCCGUGGGGCAUGCCUGUUCGAGCGUCAUUUACCCCCUCAAGCUCCGCUUGGUGUUGGGCGUCUGUCCCGCUUCGCGCGCGGACUCGCCCCAAAGGUAUUGGCAGCGGUCGUGCCAGCUUCUCGCGCAGCACAUUGCGCUUCUCGAGGCACCGGUGGGCCCGCGUCCAUCAAGCUCACCCCCCCAGUUUGACCUCGGAUCAGGUAGGGAUACCCGCUGAACUUAAGCAUAUCAAUAAGCGGAGGA
rnacentral:misc_RNA from 1 species